rnacentral:rRNA from 1 species
GCAGUCGAACGGUAACAGGAAGCAGCUUGCUGCUUUGCUGACGAGUGGCGGACGGGUGAGUAAUGUCUGGGAAACUGCCUGAUGGAGGGGGAUAACUACUGGAAACGGUGGCUAAUACCGCAUAACGUCGCAAGACCAAAGAGGGGGACCUUCGGGCCUCUUGCCAUCAGAUGUGCCCAGAUGGGAUUAGCUUGUUGGUGAGGUAACGGCUCACCAAGGCGACGAUCCCUAGCUGGUCUGAGAGGAUGACCAGCCACACUGGAACUGAGACACGGUCCAGACUCCUACGGGAGGCAGCAGUGGGGAAUAUUGCACAAUGGGCGCAAGCCUGAUGCAGCCAUGCCGCGUGUAUGAAGAAGGCCUUCGGGUUGUAAAGUACUUUCAGCGGGGAGGAAGGUGUUGUGGUUAAUAACCGCAGCAAUUGACGUUACCCGCAGAAGAAGCACCGGCUAACUCCGUGCCAGCAGCCGCGGUAAUACGGAGGGUGCAAGCGUUAAUCGGAAUUACUGGGCGUAAAGCGCACGCAGGCGGUCUGUCAAGUCGGAUGUGAAAUCCCCGGGCUCAACCUGGGAACUGCAUUCGAAACUGGCAGGCUUGAGUCUUGUAGAGGGGGGUAGAAUUCCAGGUGUAGCGGUGAAAUGCGUAGAGAUCUGGAGGAAUACCGGUGGCGAAGGCGGCCCCCUGGACAAAGACUGACGCUCAGGUGCGAAAGCGUGGGGAGCAAACAGGAUUAGAUACCCUGGUAGUCCACGCCGUAAACGAUGUCUACUUGGAGGUUGUGCCCUUGAGGCGUGGCUUCCGGAGCUAACGCGUUAAGUAGACCGCCUGGGGAGUACGGCCGCAAGGUUAAAACUCAAAUGAAUUGACGGGGCCCGCACAAGCGGUGGAGCAUGUGGUUUAAUUCGAUGCAACGCGAAGAACCUUACCUGGUCUUGACAUCCACAGAACUUUCCAGAGAUGGAUUGGUGCCUUCGGGAACUGUGAGACAGGUGCUGCAUGGCUGUCGUCAGCUCGUGUUGUGAAAUGUUGGGUUAAGUCCCGCAACGAGCGCAACCCUUAUCCUUUGUUGCCAGCGGUCCGGCCGGGAACUCAAAGGAGACUGCCAGUGAUAAACUGGAGGAAGGUGGGGAUGACGUCAAGUCAUCAUGGCCCUUACGACCAGGGCUACACACGUGCUACAAUGGCGCAUACAAAGAGAAGCGACCUCGCGAGAGCAAGCGGACCUCAUAAAGUGCGUCGUAGUCCGGAUUGGAGUCUGCAACUCGACUCCAUGAAGUCGGAAUCGCUAGUAAUCGUGGAUCAGAAUGCCACGGUGAAUACGUUCCCGGGCCUUGUACACACCGCCCGUCACACCAUGGGAGUGGGUUGCAAAAGAAGUAGGUAGCUUAACCUUCGGGGGGGCGCUUACCACUUUGUGAUUCAUGA